GUGCUAGCUUCAGCAUCACAUAUGCUAAAGUUGGAACGAUACAGAGAAAAUUAGCAUGGCCCCUGAUCAAGAAUGACAUGCAAAUUCACGAAGGGUUCCACAUUUCC